AAGCAGCAGGACAUACUCACUGAAGAGGUUUAGGGGAUAAUUUGGGUUGGGAACCAUUCCUACACCCAUAGCUUCUGCAGAGUUCCAGGUCUUCUCCCUCCCUUAUGGCUUCCACUGAAGUCAUUCCCUCCUCACCUCUCAUCACUCUUAGAAUUUUUUUGUUCCACACCAUUUGAUUCCUUCAUUUUUAAUAUUUUUAGUAUUUUUCCAGCAUGAAAUUUGGUUUUGGAAGUUUUUGACUCUAACAUACAAGAAUGUAAGGUCACAGGAGAGACCUUCAACUAGAGCUGAAUACCACCGGACCAGGUCACUCUAAGGAAGGCAGCUCCAGCAGUCUUGGAGAUCAGCCUGCUUAAAGAACACACCUGCGCUGUGGUGGCAUUUUUGUUGUUGUUUUGUUUUAUGGUUUGAGGUUUUUUUUUUUUUUUUUUUUUUUUUUGUGUUUUGUUUUUUUUUUCAGUUGGUUCAGUUGAAAUGAUAACUUUCUGAACUUACAGUAAUAUUUAGCUCAUCUUUGAAGGGUGCAAAUAGAUAAUGAAUGGUGAUUGCAGUGAUAAUUACACUUGCCAGGAAGUGGUGAAUCAUUUCAUACUCUCUUGCUGGUCUUAUUUUAAAAAUAAGAACUUGGCAGUUAUCCUUAUGUUAUUUUGAGAUAUGUCCAAAAAGCUAGAGCACAUUUUUCAAGACCAAGGGUUAAAUCAGGCACACAGAAAAAUGCAACAAGAAAGCAACUGUUCAAAGAAGAGAAAAGGAAAGGAAGAAAAGCCAAGGACAACAAAAGUCCAACAAUUUCUAGAGAUACGGUCUGAAGCUCUACUUAAACUGGCAGAAUGUUAAGCUUUCCACAACUGGCACAAGGAGCAAACAUGGAAUAAAUAUCUAGAAAAAAGUGCUGAACAAGAACUAGGAGGAGCUCUAAGCUACAGGAUAUGAUGAAAGAGCUGCAGAAACACAAUUAAGUGUAAAUAGAUCUGAGAAAAAGAAAACAGCUGAGAAGAUGAAGAGUUGAGUUUGUUUCCUGUGUGAAAUAAUUAGUGCUACGUGCAUUUAUAUCUGAGGGGAAUCUUGUAAUGGUGGAAUUUCUCAACAUCACAGACUGAGGCAAGUCUAACAAAAGCAUAUGAAACUUCUCUGCUUAGCUUCUCUCAGAAGUAAAAAGCUGGGCACAAACAUCCUAAUUAUUACAUCAAACUCUAGCCUUCAUUUCUCAAUUUUAUCUGAGAUUUAACUGAAAACUAGGACAAAAAGUCAGCCACUCCUGAGCAUGGCUUCUUAUGUCCCCCACACAGCUGUGCUCUUCACAGAGGUAAGCUGAAAACAACAUGCUCAGAAACCGAUUUAGAAUAGUUAAACCUAUGCACAGGAGCUUUUUCUGUUUUAUCCAAAUAUGGCAGUAAUGGACAAGUAGAAUCAGCAGGAUCUUUUAAAGUAGAAAAAGAAAUAAGAAAUCUUUUCCUCCCCGUGUUUUCUUCUGAAAGCCUUUGAGCACUGAGGAUCACAUGAACACUGAGAGGUGCCUGGAGAACGAUUGGUUUGAACAUUUUCACAUUCUCGUUCUCCCACAGCCACUGAAAAAGAAGGUCUCUGAGAGGCUUAAAAGUAGCAGGCAACAUUGUUUGAUUUUUCCAUGCACUGAUCUGACAAGAAGAGAUUAGAAAUUUCAAGCAUCUACUCCUGACCCUGACA